GUGAGUAAUACAUAUGAACUUUCUCUAAGCAGAGGAUAGCCAGUCGAAAGAUCGGGUAAUACUCUAUGUGGCCGAAAGGUUAAAGUUUAAUACACUUAGAGUGAGGCAUAUGCCCCAUCAGCUAGUUGGUAAGGUAAUGGCUUACCAAGGCGAAGACGGGUAGCUGGACUGAGAGGUUGAUCAGCCACACUGGGACUGCGACACGGCCCAGACAUCUACGGAUGGCAGCAGUAGGGAAUUUUCCGCAAUGGGCGAAAGCCUGACGGAGCCAUGCCGCGUGCAGGACGACGGCCCUAUGGGUUGUAAACUGCUGUGGUAGCCUACCAAAAAAAUGAGGAGGCUAUUAGAAAGAGGUUGCUAACUCUGUGCCAGCAGCAGCGGUAAUACAGAGACCUCGAGCGUUAUCCGGUAUCACUGGGCGUAAAGCGUACCGAUCGGUUGUUUAGUGUGUCUAAAGUGAAAGACCGAAGCCUAACUUCGUGUUUGCUUUGGAAACUACUAAACUUGAAGGGCAAAGAGGUGGUUGGAACUCUGCAAGUAGGGGUGAAAUCCGUUGAUAUGCAGGGGAACACCAAAAGCGAAGGCAGACCACUAGGUGCCUCUUGACACUGCUAGGACGAAAGCGUGGGGAGAGAACGGGAUUAGAUACCCCGGUAUUCCACGCCCUAAACGAUGAGUGCUAGUUUUUGGGGAAAGUUAAUCUUCCUCGGAGACAAAGCUAACGCAUUAAGCACUCCGCCUGUAGAGUACGAGCGCAAGCUUAAAACAUAAAGGAAUUGACGGGAACCCGCACAAGCGGUGGAUCAUGUGGCUUAAUUCGAUAAUAAGCGAGGAACCUCACCUAGGUUUGACAUGCAACUGCACGACUAAUGAAAGUUAGUUUCUUUCGAAGGUGUUGCACAGAUGAUGCACGGUCGUCGUCAGCUCGUGUCGUGAGAUGUUCGGUUAAGUCCGGUAACGAGAGCAACGCCAAUCCUUAGUUAUUUUAUGUUUAAGGAGACUGCC
rnacentral:rRNA from 1 species